AGCAUCUAUGAAAAUAUGCAAAUAUUUGCUCAAAACAUUAAGAUUAUGAAAUGUAUGCACAUCAUUAUGAGGGAUUGAUUUAAACCACACAUAUAAAGGUCUAGUAAAAAAUGUCCCAGACAGAACCGUCCUACCAGUAUAACACAGCAGCCACCCAGAAAUUCUGCACAGUUUGUAAAAUGGGAAAAAUAUUACAGCUGUUUUUUUUUUUUUUUAAAGCCUGUCUGAGGAAGAAUUUUUAAAUCUUGUGUUUCUAACUUCUAGUGUCAUGUUUUAUGCCUCCGUCUGACUCUACAUGGUCCCCCACUGGGACCUGCACCUGACUCAGUACAACACUAAUGCUGAGAGGAGAGAAAUGAGCAGAAAAACACGAGAGAGAAAAAAGGGAAAAGCAGACGGAGACGUCUGUUUUGGUAAUCGGUCAUGAGAGGUAGAACGGUUUCUGUGUGUGCCGUUAACAACGAUGAAAGAAAACAGAGAGUUUAGUUCAUCAGCAAACACAAGCCCUGGAAACACACUGUCACACCUACAGAGGAUAUCCACAGAGAAAAAAGACGCGGGCACACAGACUUUUUGAGUGACAGCGCAUCCAUCACAGGCGUGUGAGUUAUGGUAUUAUGCCGGAGGCUGCUCACCCUGUAAUCCAACUGAAACCAAGCCUAUUAAAAUGUCAUCAAACCCUUUUUAAUCAAAGACUAAUCUCAUCUAAUUAAUCAAACAGGCUUUCAUAAUAUCCAACACUCCCGAGCUGUGAGACGGUUUAUGAAGAUCAUAAAACACAAUACAAUAUGAUAGUGUGUUUCUUAUUGAUCUCCUCAUUCAGGAAAUUGAUUCACAUUGAAAACAAGUACAGUUUAAUCAAAGAGGAUUGUAAGAGGACAUGUUGUAAAAGGGGUCAAACGAGCAGAAAAGUCACAGACACACGGAUUUGUAAGGAAUCGACAGAACAAUCUUCAAUCCAGGAAAUGGAAAAGGGAGCAAGCAGGAAGAGGGGUUUAGAAGAGAUCCUGCAAUGGAGACUGAACUCUACAAACAAAUCUUCUGAAGCGAAGCUGGAUUUACAAAUUGAUCUACUUUCUCUUCAGUAAACAAAGGGCUAAAAAUAUAGCCAUUUACAUGUGUACUUGUGCAUGUUCAAAUGUAAAGUGUUUGUUUUAUAAAGUUAUUCAAUGAUCUCACAUGUAUCUAGAUUUAAAAAAUGCUUCAUUCUUAAAGAAAUAUUCUUGCUUUUAUUUGUCCAGUUCUUUCGUUUAUGACUAAUUACCUUCAAAACUAAAGACGUUCCCUCCAGCUAGAGCUUAACUAAUGCAGUGAACAUGGUAGUAAAUACACCUGCUGAACAUCAUAUUCAUUGUGAGCACGUUAGCACACUGAUGUUCGCAUUAAACGCAAAGCUGUACCAAAUCAUGCCUCACAGAGCUCCUAGCAUAGCUGAAGACUCUGUUUCUACAUCCAUUUAAAUGUAGUUUAUCAUUAAAGGGUAACACCAUCAAUUUUAAAUGUGAAUGUGUGUUUAUAGGUCUUGGAAAAUACUACCGCAUUUAUUGCAGUAUAAAGCCUUUUGUGACUCCAGAGGAGACUGCAUGUAAUCUGAUAAAUUGCCUCCAAUUCUGUCUCUCAGUGGCUAACUUGCACUGUGGGUAAUGCAGGCACCAGGUUUUAAAAAGGAAUUCGUCAAUACUUUUUGGGGGGAUGUUCAUGUGAUUUUUUUUGUGUAUAACAAAUAACAAAUAUGAAACAAACCCCAACCCUACAAACAAAAAAACACCCCAAGCACUGCAUGAUCAUAUUUCUUACAACACAUUAUUUUGCCAGUAUGAAAUUAGUGAAAACAAAAUACAUUUCUUCCAAAAACCACCCCACAAACAAAACUGAGUUCUUAAUUUAUGCUGAACAUUCUUCUCAAACACUUUUAUCACCAACAUCAUCAAAAUCAUCAUCAUCCAACACAAAAAUUGUCCCUGUUACGUUCAAUGUCAGAUGAUACAAAAACAUUUCUCUGAAAAUGUCAUUAUCAGGGACUUGAGCAGGUCCCGGGGCUCUCAUUCCAUCAACUCAUCAUGAAUCAAACUGUUAAUGAACAGCAAAACAGUUUCAAGUAAAUUCUUUCGGCUAGAUCAACACCGCCACAAGGACUGCUCUGUAGCAGGAAUAACAACAAUAAUUACCAUGUGAGCUGAGAAACAAGUCUUGAAGGACAAUUCCAUUACUGUUUAUGUCUAAUUUACAUUUUUCACAAUGAUCUCGCUGUGAACACCAUAUUUUUUUCUGUUUAACUUUGUUUUACAUUCAUCAGCUUGAUGGCUUCUAAACUGGUGUGAUAGUUACCUUCCAGACAUGCACCAAAUAGUACUGACAAGAAAGGGAGAUUGCAGUUAGUAAAGAAAUCACAAUGACAACACAGGAACUUUCAAGAAAAUUAAUAAUAAAUGAUCUAAAGGCAGUCCCUGCGUCAUGAGGGGGCGUGGCCUGUCGGAUUGUCCCGCCCCCUCAGUCAAAAUGUAUGUAUUUUCAUUUCAUUUUUUUUUAAAAAAAUAUUGUUUUCAGUCUAUGAUGUCUUGAAAACAACCCAAUACUGUACUCGGAAGAAACUCCACUUACUAGUUAAAACCAUAAUGAACCAUAAUUUUGGAAAUUAAAUUCCGAGUUUCCAGUGGUCCUUGAUCCCAUCACGCACCUUACGUUAUGUCGUCAGUGCAUCAUCCCGCCGCAAGGAGUAGCCAGCAGCUAGCGUAUAUUAUCAGUCACAAUGGACAUUCGCAAAUGGCUGAAAACUACACCGUCGGCGUCCCUGCAGCCUGGCAGCAGCAACAGGAGAACCGGAGAAGCCGAGGAGCACCUGCCGAGGCCAAAUUCGGAGAAGGAGCAGUGCAUUUAGCGGCCCAGGGAGCAGAGUGAACUGCCCGCCGGCCCGCCGGCGCCCACAGCCUCUGGGCCGGGUUCACCGGGAGCGGAGAGCCCGUCAUCGCAUUCGCAGCAGCAGCGUGGUUUACCGGAGGACCUCGGAGUUGACAAGCCAGUUCAGGUUCGUCUGGUGACUUUGAGUCAACUUGUAUCAAAGUAGUACAUGAUGUUCAGUGCCAUGCCAGCGGUAAUGACUGCGUUCAAACACGCACUAACAUUCAGGGCAUCAACUGCUAGGUGCGAAAACUUAGUCUCCACGUUGAAGAACGUAUUUAUCGAGCACAGACGUAGCACGUUGCAUAGACGGAAAGCCCAUCUCAUCCAGCUGGCAUCCGAGAAUGACCUCCGUCGGAAAUUAAAAGAUGAAUGGAAGGAGAUGCUGUUAAGGAGGUUCCACUCAUCAGGAAAGAGGAGACUGCAACUCUACUGAAGCAUGUGUGGUCCUUUCUCUCCGCGCAGACCUGGCUGGCUGCUCCCAAGUCUGGCCACCGGAGGCACUGUAGACUUCAGCUGUGUCAUCAACUCGUCACUGGAAAGUUGUCCAUUUAUAGGUGUUCCUGUGAGCACUGCUUUACUGCUUGUGUUUGGCAUGAUGGGAGACACCAUCUUGGCUUUUUUAGAUAUCAUAUGUGACCAGAUGUGGACACGACAGUUUGAGCCGGGGAGGAUUCUGAUUGGAUAUGACUGGGCAGUCGAGGACACAUAGUGGUAGCGACUUGUCGGUCACAAGGGAGCAGCUGGGUUUGCCAGGCAGUCACCGGCAUUGCCGCGACGACUGAUGUCAAUUUUCUGUCGGCGGAGGGUGCGGAAGGCCUCGGCCAUCACAAGGACGCCAUCGUAUGUUAGCGAUGAGGAAAACAAUGACUUCUUUGUCAGAGAGUGUGGCCAGAGCUGGGAGGUAAAAAAAAAAAAAAGCACACAUACUUUGUUUUGCAUCAUCACAAGUCUGAUUUCAGUCUGUCAGUGCACAUCAGGGAUGGCAGAUGUAGAGAGAUGGGAAGAUGAAAAAAACAUAACAAGAUGGAAACUAACAGAAUCAGACUCCUUCAUAGAAAUAGUUUCAGUAGAUUUCAGGUGCUUUUCUGUGCCUUUAAACACACUGUUUAAACUACAUCGGUACGGUUAUGUAAAUACUGUAAAAGACUUUAAAUCACCACUGAAUGUGUCUGAUGUUUUUGGUUCUCAGUGACAGUAGCCUUCUCUGCAGGUCUGCAUGGUUUAUAUAAACAGCAAACAGUGUUUAAAAAGAUGCCUUCUGUGAUUUACAAAGCUUAAGUUAAUUUUGCAGGGAUAUACCAUUGUUCUGUGUAACCUGUUCCUAAAAAUGGGAACCAAUCUAAUUCUGAUGACAUCUGUUAUCCUGCGCUAGACCUCAGACCAUCUUAACAUCCAUCCAUGUGGACUUAACCUCAUCAGCAGGCAGACAUGCUGACCUGUGCCUCAAUUUGUCUUACUACUCUGACUUUUAUUUGACUUCCACAGUUAACACCAGUGAACAUCAAUCAGCACCACUGUAAAUGUAACAUCACUGUAAAUGUGCCACUUUUAGACAGGCUUAUAGUUUUAAAAUAUACAUUCACUAGGCCAUUAAAAUGGCAUUAAAACUAUACGGUAAAUCUGCUCAUGAAAUCCCCUUUGUUAGAGGGAAUUCCCCUAGAUGUUGGAAUUAAUACAGAGUCCCUGGAUUAAUACACGGGGCUUUGUUGGGUUUUAUUCAAGGAUGCAGCACUUAGGGAGUGAGGUGUUGAUGUGUAAGGGAACUUGGUAAGACAACGAGACAGGCUGAGAGAUUCUCAGCAGCCGUUCUCUAAUGAAACUCUUAAAAGUUGUGGUGAUCUUGACAGAUUGUUUGACAAAUUCAUUACAGGUAAGAAGACACAGCGCAGCAGGGAACAGCACCACACACACUCAGGGGCAACAAACGCACCCUGCCCACACACACACACACACACACACACACACACACACACACACACACACACACACACACACACACACAGCCCCACACAGACAGAGGCAGUCAAACACUCAGCGGGCUGCCUUCACAUCACCGCAGAGACAAGUGGUGAGAUGAAAAUGGGAGGAAAGAGGGAAGACGGCUGAGAGACUCCACCAACGCUCUCCAUGCCUCUCCAGGUGGUUUUCUCUCUCACUGACAUCCCUUGAUUUGUAUCCCAAAAGGCGUGUUUUGGAAGGCUGCGCAACCAUGUCAUCCACCUUUCAUCACUCCCCUUUGAAAUGAGAGAAGCCUUUAGGCGUGUGACUGACAGAUGACGAGUAUAGAAUCCAAAUCAAGGAGUAAACAACGGCAAAACUGAGCCAACUAGCAUACUGCUUUUUGUGUGUGUCAGGUGUAGGACAGAAACACCUCGGGGACACACAUGAAAUGGUGUAGGCUUUAAAAAAAA